UUGUUUUAAGUUUCUGAUAAAUCUUUAUAGAAAGAGAUUACACUAAUCAGAUGAAUUAAUACCUUUUUUCAUUUUGUCUCUUCACCUUAUGUUGCUAAGUUUUUUCAUCUAUGACAUUGCUGUAAUCAAUACAUAUUUCAUUUGAAUUAUUUCAGGAAUUAAUAUAUUAAUUUAAAAA
rnacentral:miRNA from 1 species